rnacentral:lncRNA from 1 species
GACAACCCCUCCCUUCAGCCCCGCUCCGGGGCCGGCUCGAAGGCGGAGAAAGGCGCCACGCUACCCAUCCGCCCUCCUCGCCCCCACGCCGCGAUUCAGUACGAGUCCCAAGUCCCCGCCCCCAGCGGGGUCGACCUCGGGGGCUCAGAGGGCCGCCCGGCCAGGCACACCUCGAUCCCUUCCUCUUUCGCUCCCCACGCGGCGUUCGAGGAAGGGGCCAGGCGGCCUGGCAUCCCCGCGCCGGCUCCACCGAGGAGGAAGCCGGGAGGGGCGGUGACUCCACGCGCGCGCCCCGUAGCCCCACGCACCGGGCUGCCUGGGGGCUCAGCCCCGGCCCCGGCCCUCGCACGUGGGCAGCGCUGCGUCUGCGCCGCGGCCCCUCCCCAGCGGCUGUCAAUCCCCCGGAGUCGCCGCCGCGGCCGCUGCCCGCGCGGACCGCCCAGCGCCCACCUCCGCCGAGGGUGGACCGUUGCGUUCCCAGCCGCGAGGAGUCCGAGUCCGGAGCCUCUCCACCCCAAGCAGAUAAACACACACCUCGGCUGGGACGCGGCGCUCCGCGAGGCUUCCAGCCCGGAUCCCGCUGGGCGGCGCCGCCUCCGCCCGCCCCCACUCCGAGCCCCAGCCGGCCGCGCGGGACUCGCGCCUUACGUAAGCCGGGGAGACCGGCUCCGCGCGAGUCGCCGGCCGGCGCCCCCUCCCCUUCCCGCCGCUCCGCUCUCACCCCGCCCUCCCGGCCCACGUGCUCCCGACCACCCAGCGGGGGCUGCGGGGGCGCAGGGACCCAGACCCUUAUGUUGCAGUCGCCUGGGGACCCCGUCUGCUGUUGAGGGGAAGGAAAAAUACAACUUGUUGAUCGCCUUCUGUGCGUCAAGUUCAGGGCUAGGUAAUUUCCUUAUGCAGCAGCCGUUCCAGAUAGAGUAUUCACAGAUGAGGAAAGGAGGCUUGGCGUAUCGCCAUUCAUUCAACAAAUGUUUAUUGAGCUCCCACCACGUCUCAGACACUGUUUUAGGCGCUUGGCAUAUAGCUGUGAACCAAAGAGGUGGAGUCUUGCCCUUGUGGAACAUAAAGUGCGGAGGGAGAUUUGAACCCUCACCUGCCUGA